rnacentral:rRNA from 1 species
UACGGAGGAUGCGGGCGUUAUCCGGAUUUAUUGGGUUUAAAGGGUGCGUAGGCGGGCUUUUAAGUCAGCGGUAAAAAUUCGGGGCUCAACCCCGUCCGGCCGUUGAAACUGGGGGCCUUGAGUGGGCGAGAAGAAGGCGGAAUGCGUGGUGUAGCGGUGAAAUGCAUAGAUAUCACGCAGAACCCCGAUUGCGAAGGCAGCCUUCCGGCGCCCUACUGACGCUGAGGCACGAAAGUGCGGGGAUCGAACAGG